rnacentral:rRNA from 1 species
GGAAUAUUGGACAAUGGGCGCAAGCCUGAUCCAGCAAUGCCGCGUGUGUGAAGAAGGCCUGCGGGUUGUAAAGCACUUUCAGUGGGGAAGAAAAGCCUAAGGUUAAUAACCUUGAGUCUUGACGUUACCAACAGAAGAAGCACCGGCUAACUCCGUGCCAGCAGCCGCGGUAAUCCGGAGGGUGCGAGCGUUAAUCGGAAUUACUGGGCGUAAAGGGCACGAAGGUGGCUUGGCAAGUCGGAUGUGAAAGCCCCGGGCUUAACCUGGGAAUUGCAUUCGAUACUGCUGAGCUAGAGUAUGGGAGAGGAAAGCGGAAUUCCCGGUGUAGCGGUGAAAUGCGUAGAUAUCGGGAGGAACAUCAGUGGCGAAGGCGGCUUUCUGGCCCAAUACUGACACUCAUGUGCGAAAGCGUGGGGAGCAAAC